rnacentral:rRNA from 1 species
AAAAAGUCGUAACAAGGUCUCCGUAGGUGAACCUGCGGAGGGAUCAUU